rnacentral:rRNA from 1 species
CCUACGGGAGGCAGCAGUGGGGGAUAUUGCACAAUGGGGGGAACCCUGAUGCAGCGACGCCGCGUGGGUGAAGGAGUGCUUCGGCAUGUAAAGUCCUAUCGGCAGGGAAGAAGCAAGACGGUACCUGACUAAGAAGCCCCGGCUAACUACGUGCCAGCAGCCGCGGUAAUACGUAGGGGGCGAGCGUUAUCCGGAUUCACUGGGUGUAAAGGGAGCGUAGACGGCCAUGCAAGCCAGGGGGGAAAGCCCGGGGCCCAACCCCGGGACUGCCCUUGGAACUGUGCGGCUAGAGUGCGGGAGGCGCAGGCGGAAUUCCUGGUGUAGCGGUGAAAUGCGUAGAUAUCAGGAGGAACACCGGCGGCGAAGGCGGCCUGCUGGACCGCGACUGACGUUGAGGCUCGAAAGCGUGGGGAGCGAACAGGAUUAGAUACCCGGGUAGUC